CAGGCUGGUCCGGGCGGGCGAGGCGCAGGGCUCUCCCACACGUCGCGCCGCCAAUGGCAAGUUGGAGGGCGAGAUGCAAAUACCAGAUGAGGCUGCCGAGACCUAGGAAAUUAGCGGCUCUGGGUCAUCCAGGAGUGAGUGGCAAAGCUGAGACGCAAAUCCCGAAGUGCGCUCCUUCCGCUGUGCUCCCCAGCUUCGGGAGGAAGAAACACGGGCAGGGAGCACUUACUGGAACCUGAAGAAGAAACACAGGGAGAAGGAAAACAAGUGGGCGAGGAAGGAGGGAAAAGGAAGAGAGAUGAGAGAAGUUACAAGCAGAGAAUGGAGGAAGAAACACGAUUUGGUCAGUGGAAGAAAAGCCUGGACUAGAUGGAAGCGGAACAGUAAAGCCAUCUGAGGAGUGACGGAGUUCUGAUGUGAACUCACACAUCACACUCCCAGCACUUCUGUUGCACUGAUGGUUCCUGUUUACCCGUCUGUGUCCGCCACUAGGUUCUAAAGCCAUUGAGGGCAGGGACUGUAUGUUACUCAUCUUCUUAUCUCUGGGGCCUAUUGGCCCACGGCAUGCAGCAAGUUACGCAGCAUGUUUGCUAGCUGACCAAUAAAUCCAUUUACGAACGUA